rnacentral:lncRNA from 10 species
CAGGGGGACGUAAGUGAAUCAUGAGGGCCAGUCUUUCCUAUGCUAUUCUCAUGAUAGUGAAUAAGUCUCACGAGAUCUGAUGGGUUUAUCAGGAGUUUCCACUUUUGCUUCUUCCUCAUUCUCUCUUGGUGCCACCAUGUAAGAAGUGCCUUUCACUUCCUGCCAUGAUUCUGAAGUCCCCCCAGCCAUGUGGAACUGAUACCCCAUGGUUCUCCUACCACCAGAUGCUACUGAGGCUAAACUGACUGGACUGAGGAAAAAUAUCUGUGGGGAAAACUUUCUUUCAGAAUCCAACUUUGAACCAGAGAAAUCCAUUCUCUUGAAGCUGUCUGCUGUGGAGAAGUUGGCCUUACCAAUCUGCCUUUGAAGUUCAAGUUAUACAGGAUCUGCGAGGCUACCUGUGAAUGAAUGGUUGGUUGGUCACUACUUGCAAGUUUUUCAGGAGCUCCUGAAAGAUUACUGCAUAAAUAAGGGAAGAUGGAGACCAGACCUCUGGCUACUGUUGCUGCCACCACUACAGAUACCACCUUCACCCUUAUGAACCCCCUAUUUACUGAACAUUCUCUAUAUGCCAGGUAACAUGCCCUGCACUUGUGAAAUAAGGACUGUUAUUUCCCCUAUUUUAUAAAAGAGGAGCUGAGGCUCAGAGAGAUUAUGUUACUUGCCCAAGAUCAGAUAGCUAGUAAGUGGCAGAGAUGAGAUUCUGUCUGAGUCCAGCUUACACCAUAACUGAUAUUCUUGACAAUCGGGCUGGAUAGAAAAGGAUAAGAUAUGAGAAUUUUGGUGCUAUGAUUUGAAUUUUCCUUCCAAAGCUCAUGUUGAAACUUAAUCCCCAAAGUAACAGUACUGAUAGGUGGGGUCUUUAACAUGGAGUCCCAGAAUUGGAUCGUGAGGGCUCUGCCCUGAUAAAUGAAUUAUUCCACUCAUGAUUAAUGGAUUAAUAGAUCAUCAUGGGAGUGGAACAGUGGCUUUAUAAGAAGAGGAAGAGAGACCUGAGGUAGAACACUCAGCGCCCUUGCCAUGUGAUGCUCUGUACUGCCUUGGGACUCUGCAGAGUCUCUCUACCAGCAAGAAGGUCCUCACCAGAUGCAGUCCCUUGACCUUGGCCUUCUUAGCUUCUACAACUGUCAUAAAUAAUUUUUUCUUUAUAAAUUACCCAGUUUUGGGAGUUCUAUUAUAAGCAAUAAAAACCAG